rnacentral:rRNA from 1 species
AUUGAACGCUGGCGGCAUGCUUUACACAUGCAAGUCGAACGGCAGCGCGGGCUUCGGCCUGGCGGCGAGUGGCGAACGGGUGAGUAAUACAUCGGAACGUGCCCAGGAGCGGGGGAUAGCUCGGCGAAAGCCGGAUUAAUACCGCAUACGACCUGAGGGUGAAAGCGGGGGAUCUUCGGACCUCGCGCUAUUGGAGCGGCCGAUGGCAGAUUAGCUAGUUGGUGGGGUAAAGGCCUACCAAGGCGACGAUCGGUAGCUGGUCUGAGAGGAGGACCAGCCACACUGGGACUGAGAGACGGCCCAGACUCCUACGGGAGGCAGAAGUGGGGAAGUUUGGACAAUGGGCGAAAGCCUGAUCCAGCAAUGCCGCGCGUGUGAUGAAGGCCUUCGGGUUGUAAAGCACUUUUGGCGGGAACGAAAAGGACUGUGCCAAUACCACGGUUCGAUGACGGUACCCGCAGAAGAAGCACCGGCUAACUACGUG